AAUGCAGGCGUAUGCAAGGAUCCCUUUCUUUGAAGACCAAUAAUUCACCUAUACAAAUCCAAAAGCCAACAAAGUAACUAAAACCAACGCGAGAACCCAUUUCAAUAUCCACAACAAAGACAUUAACCUCAAAAUACACAAACUUGGAAUGCAAAACACAAGGCCUUGCGUUCAGGGAGCAAAAUAUCAGAACCCUAAGUUCCUUAUGUACUAACGGGUGUGCUGAGCAUCUUCAAGCAAAGGUGUGAUCCUGAAUGCUACAAAGGAAAUUGUAGGAAGAUCAACUUCAGUAUAUUUGGUGUAUGAUCCGAUCUCAGAAAGAUAGUUUGAUAUUUGAUCCAGAAAUAAAGAAGAUUGCUAGGAAAUUGAAAAGCAAGCCAAGUUAUAUAAAAAAGCAUUGCAACAAUCCUCUCCUGGCAAUAAUAUUACCAUUGAACUAGUAGUGUUGGGUAGUUCUGAUAAAGAAGAGAUAGUUGAGGAAAAUAGGAACAAUGCUAAUGAUCAACGGCAAAUGGUGUUGCCGGUUCCACCCAGCAAGAAUUUGUCUUCAGGACAUCCAACAUCCAGUUAUUACAAUUUCCCCACAUUGUAUUCAACUAAGUGAAAGGGCAAGAAAUUAUGAGUUGAAAAUGGGGCAUUUUAACAUGUUACCCUCAUUCCAUGGUCUAGCCAAUGAAGAUCAGUUGUCUUUUAUCCGGGAAUUUUAUGUAGUGGUUCGGACUUUUUCAUUAAAUGGGGUGACAAAGGAUGACCUAUGGAUGAGAUGUUUUCCCUAUUAUCUUAAGGAUCGUACAAAGUCUUGACUUCUCAACUUACCAUAGGGAUCUUAAGAAAUUGGGAAGACAUGUAUAAUAUCUUCAUGACUAAAUAUUACUCAUCGUAUAAGACUAUAGAUUUGAGGAAUAAAGGGGAGUCAAUUCAUGAAGAUUGGGAACAUUAUAAGCUGCUACUCACCCAAUGUCCUCUUCAUCAAUACUCUUUAGCUCUGCAAGUGCAACUUUGCUAUGAUGGGUUGAGUCUGACGGCUCAGAACAUGGCAGAUAUCUCAGUUAGAGGAUAUAUUGGGGACAAGAUGCCAGAAGAGUUAGUAAGUUUGUACGAGUUGCGUUAUAGUAACUCUCAACAAAAGGCGAUUUGAGGUAAGAGAAUAGGUGCCUAUGAAGUGGAAUUGCCAAAGGAUUUGGGUUCGUAGGUUGCUGAAUUAAGUCACCAAGUGCAGCAGAUACAGUUAAUGUUAACUCAUGGCACUAAACCUCAGGAAUCUUGUUCUUAUUAUCAUAUAUACAGGCAUACAACUACUAAAAGUUACACCCAAAAGCCUCCUACCUUGGUUGAACAUGUGGACUUUACUAGUGCUUAUGGUGGUCAAAAAUUGCAACAGCAAAGAAAUGCCCUUUUACUAACACUUGCAACCUUGAAUGGAGAAAUCAUUCUAAUUUUCAUGGAAGGAGCAAGGGGCCACGCCUAUGGACCACCUGGUUUCCAAAAUCAGUAGCUAAGAGCUUAGUAUCUACCUUCACUUGUUCAUGAGAAAAAGUCAAGUGCUGAGGAUAUGAUGCUUUAAUAUAUACAAAAGAUGGAUCAAAUAGCGCAAUCUCAACAAGUCUCAAAUCAAAAUCUUGAGAGGCAAAUGGGUCAAUUAGUUAAGGUGUUGAAUGAAAAGGAGCAACGAAAGUUCAAAGGAGGCAAGCAUGGCGGUAACACUUCGUUCAGGUAAGGUAUUGGAGGAUCCCAUUCAGAAAUCCAAAGAGAAGCUAAAUAAGCAAGAUGAGCAAGUUGUUAGGAAAAAAGGUGAAGAAUCUGAGAACAAGGUCCAAAGUUCAUGCAAGGAGGUUAUUGAAGAACAUAUCUCGAUUGAAUUAUCUGAAGUCCGACCAUAUGUGCUACCAAUCCCAUUUUCUUAGUGUUUGAAGAAGAAGACGUGUUAGGAGAUAUCAAAAAUUUUUUGGAGAUGUUAAAAAAAUUGUAAGUGAACAUCCCUUUUGGUGAGGCCAUUGCUAACAUGCCAACUUAUGCAGAAUUCCUCAUGGAGAUAGUUUCUAACAAGUAAUGAUUCAAGGAAUUGCUACAGUUUUGUUGACAGAUAA